UACGAAGGGAACUAGCGUUGUUCGGAAUCACUGGGCGUAAAGCGCACGUAGGCGGACGUGUCAGUCAGGGGUGAAAUCCCGGAGCUCAACUUCGGAACUGCCUUUGAUACAGCACGUCUUGAGUCCGGAAGAGGUGGGUGGAAUUCCUAGUGUAGAGGUGAAAUUCGUAGAUAUUAGGAAGAACACCGGUGGCGAAGGCGGCCCACUGGUCCGGUACUGACGCUGAGGUGCGAAAGCGUGGGGAGCAAACAGG
rnacentral:rRNA from 1 species